AAUAGAUACCCAGGUAGUCCACGCUGUAAACGUUGGACACUAGGUGUGGCGGUCUGAUCAACGACUGCCGUGCCGAAGCUAACGCAUUAAGUGUCCCGCCUGGGGAGUACGGCCGCAAGGCUAAAACUCAAAGGAAUUGACGGGUCCCCGCACAAGCGGCGGAGCAUGCGGCUUAAUUCGAUGCAACCCGAAGAACCUUACCUGGGUUUGACAUCAUGGGAAAAGCCGUGGAAACACGGUGUCCGUAAGGGCCCAUGACAGGUGGUGCAUGGCUGUCGUCAGCUCGUGUCGUGAGAUGUUGGGUUAAGUCCCGCAACGAGCGCAACCCUUGUCCUAUGUUGCCAGCGGUUCGGCCGGGGACUCAUAGGAGACUGCCGGGGAUAACUCGGAGGAAGGUGAGGACGAUGUCAAGUCAUCAUGCCCCUUAUAUCCAGGGCUGCACGCAUGCUACAAUGGUCGGUACAACGGGCAGCGAUCCUGCGAAGGUGAGCGAAUCCCGACAACGCCGGCCUCAGUUCGGA
rnacentral:rRNA from 1 species